rnacentral:rRNA from 1 species
CACGAAUGGCGUAAUGAUGGCCAGGCUGUCUCCACCCGAGACUCAGUGAAAUUGAACUCGCUGUGAAGAUGCAGUGUACCCGCGGCAAGACGGAAAGACCCCGUGAACCUUUACUAUAGCUUGACACUGAACAUUGAGCCUUGAUGUGUAGGAUAGGUGGGAGGCUUUGAAGUGUGGACGCCAGUCUGCAUGGAGCCGACCUUGAAAUACCACCCUUUAAUGUUUGAUGUUCUAACGUGGACCCGUUACCCGGGUUGCGGACAGUGUCUGGUGGGUAGUUUGACUGGGGCGGUCUCCUCCUAAAGAGUAACGGAGGAGCACGAAGGUUGGCUAAUCCUGGUCGGACAUCAGGAGGUUAGUGCAAUGGCAUAAGCCAGCUUGACUGCGAGCGUGACGGCGCGAGCAGGUGCGAAAGCAGGUCAUAGUGAUCCGGUGGUUCUGAAUGGAAGGGCCAUCGCUCAACGGAUAAAAGGUACUCCGGGGAUAACAGGCUGAUACCGCCCAAGAGUUCAUAUCGACGGCGGUGUUUGGCACCUCGAUGUCGGCUCAUCACAUCCUGGGGCUGAAGUAGGUCCCAAGGGUAUGGCUGUUCGCCAUUUAAAGUGGUACGCGAGCUGGGUUUAGAACGUCGUGAGACAGUUCGGUCCCUAUCUGCCGUGGGCGCUGGAGAACUGAGGGGGGCUGCUCCUAGUACGAGAGGACCGGAGUGGACGCAUCACUGGUGUUCGGGUUGUCAUGCCAAUGGCACUGCCCGGUAGCUAAAUGCGGAAGAGAUAAGUGCUGAAAGCAUCUAAGCACGAAACUUGCCCCGA